GUAUGGAGGGGGAUGAGGGGUCAUGUCUCUUCUCAGGGAAAGCAGGAGCCCUUCUACAGGGUCAGGGCCCCUCAUCUUCCCCUCCUUUCCCAG
rnacentral:miRNA from 1 species